CUAAAACAACCCACAUGUCAAGUAUCUGUAUUUGAAUAUGGUUAAAGGAACGCUUUAAGCACCAUAACCAUGUCCCUGCACCCCAUAUUAUAAGUAGUCAACCCAUUUUGACACAAUUAGACUUCUCAUCUGACGUCUGCCAGGCAGCCUUCCCCCUGCAUUGCUAAAAUGGCUUAAAACCGUUUUGACUAUUUACAAGGGGUGUGAGAGAGUAGGGUGCCAGAGCACUCUUGACACCAUAACUACUACAGUAAACAGUCGUAAUUAUGGUGUUUGGAGUGUUCCUUUAAUGGGGCAACUGCCUUGUGCAUAACGCCUUUAAAUAGUUUGACAUUGGUGUGGUACAAAACCCUUAAUGAGGAGGUGAAACUAUAAAUCUAAAGUGGACUUAUUAACCCUCUGAAUACUCUUACCAGGAGCUGAAUUCACGGGGUUGUAUGGCUGUGAGUCUUGCGGAGGAUCCAAUAAAAAUCUCAAGUUACCACCUCCCUUAAAACAUGGGGUAUGUGCGACACGUGGAGAUGGCGUACUAAAUAACUGUACCAUACACACUGACAAUGGAAUUGUAAGUCAAAAUGGAGCGAGAGAUGUGACAAGCACAGUCAGGCCUCCUAUGGGGCUGUGCUAAGUAUAAGUAUAAGAUAAGAUAAACAUGCGAGACAAACAGUGAAAGCUGAUGCCAAGACAAUUUCCUUAUGUGCACGACACGUAUACUAUAUCUGUACCCAUUGCCGACUAUAUACGAGUCUAAAUUUGUAAUCUUGUAUUUUGUAUUGAUGAAAUCAAUUUCCCCCUCCCUUUCUCCCUGUUUCUUUCUGUACCCCCUACAUUGUGCAAAACAAUAAAAAAUGGUCAAAUUGGAAAAAAUCUCAAGUUACAGAGAACCAGAAUAGGAAAGGGCAGACAGGUAAAAGUGUAUAACAAAGGUUAAAGUCCGCCGAGGGACAGACAAAUAAAACAAGUAAU